rnacentral:rRNA from 1 species
AUUGAACGCUGGCGGCAUGCCUUACACAUGCAAGUCGAACGGCAGCACGGGUGCUUGCUCCUGGUGGCGAGUGGCGAACGGGUGAGUAAUACGUCAGCACUUGUCCUGUAGUGGGGGGUAGCCCGGCGAAAGCCGGAUUAAUACCGCAUACGAUCUACGGAAGACAGCGUGGGCCCUUCGGACCUCGCGCUGUCGGGUUUGCCGAUGCCUGAUUAGCUAGUGUGUGGGGGAAAGGGCUACUCAGGGGACGAUCCGUAGCUGCAGUGUGAGGACGAGCGGCCACACGGGGACUGGGACACGGCCCAGACGCCUACGGGAGGGAGCAGUGGGGAAUGGUGGACAGAGGGCGGAAACCUGACACAGCAAUGCCGCGUGUGUGAAGAAGGCCUUCGGGUAGUAAAGCACUUCUGUCGGGAAAGAAACCCUUGGCGCUAAGACGGUCGGGGGAUGACGGUACCGGAAGAAUAAGCACCGGCUAACUACGUG